rnacentral:rRNA from 1 species
GCUCAGAAACUUAAAGGAAUGACGGGGCCGCACAGCGGUGGAGUAUGUGGUUUAAUUCGAUGCAACGCGAAGAACCUUACCUGGUCUUGACAUCCCGGAGACCCUUAGGAAACUAGGGGGUGCUUCCAUCUGGAAGAAUCUGGAGACAGGUGCUGCAUGGCUGUCGUCAGCUCGUGUCGUGAGAUGUUGGGUUAAGUCCCGCAACGAGCGCAACCCUUGUCUUAUGUUGCCAGCACGUGAUGGUGGGGACUCGUAAGAGACUGCCGGGGUCAACUCGGAGGAAGGUGGGGACGACGUCAAGUCAUCAUGCCCCUUAUGUCCAGGGCUUCACACAUGCUACAAUGGCCAGUACAGAGGGCUGCGAGACCGUGAGGUGGAGCGAAUCCCUUAAAGCUGGUCUCAGUUCGGAUCGGGGUCUGCAACUCGACCCCGUGAAGUCGGAGUCGCUAGUAAUCGCAGAUCAGCAACGCUGCGGUGAAUACGUUCCCGGGCCUU